AAUUUAGGGGACAGAUUCAUCCCUCGGAUGUAUGCGGACAGAUGCCGUCAGCGAGUGGCUCCGUGGACAUGGCAGCUGAGUUUAACCUCAGAAAACGCAAGCGGAAAGCAGCGCGUGCCAGCAGCGCAGAUGGGAAGGAGGCUGCUGGAGAUGGAGGGACCCUGCGUGGUGGCAAAGUGCCCGGGAACAGAGACAGCACACCCAAUUUCGUGUGAGAUCCCAAUCUCACCUGAAAGGUGGCAUUUUGAGGAAUGAGAGACCUCUACCCUCGUAUUACUUGUUCAGAGGUAACAGUACGGGAGGGAAUAUGACACGGCACUCCACCUCCUCACUCCCAGCGGCGAUUUCGGCAUCGGGCCCAUCAGGUGCUGAGCCAGCCUGCCACCUCUCCUUGCACAACCUCCAACAAGGUGCUUUGGCUGGAGGCCAACGAGGUUGCAAGCCUUCUCUCUAUAAAACAGCUAAAUUACCAGGAAUGACAGAUGUGGGCCACUGCAGUAAUUUGAGGUGGAUUAAGGGAUGCUGGGAAGCAAGAAGGCACCGUAAAACUAGUUCUUGCUAAACUGGCAACUCUUGACUUUUAACAGAAGCUGACAGAGUUUCAGGAUUGAAAUAAGUAGGAUUGAGGGCCAUGAAACUGCCAGAGAUUUGGAAUCCUUCGUGAAAAUAGAGCGAUGCUAAAUUGCCUGCUGAACUGCUGAUCUCUGGAUUUGAGGAUGCGAAUCUGAGGGCCUUCCCUUUGAUGGAAACCUUUGAGAAGAAGUCAUUGUUGAUGGGGAGAAACAGGGGCUCACUUUUUACUACAAAUUUUCCCCAGAGACAAAUGUGAAUAUAAUUAUUCAGAGACUAAAAUCUGUCCUGGGACAGGAAUCGAUACUUCUGUUUUAAGCUGCAGUCACAGGGAAUGAGUACGUGCUAAAAUCGUCCGUAAGGGCUUCCCGAGGCUCUGUCCUGGCUGUAGCUUCCCAGCCCCCCAGGACAGGAGCACCUGCAGAUGGGCUGGCUCUCUGCUUUCCCUCCUGCAAACCAUGCUGUGCAGACAGAAGAGGGAUGCUGGAGGUGAUGGAAAACCUCACCCACCACAGGCUGCGGAGCAGGACGAUGUGUUACCAGCCCUGGAGAAGCAGCCUUUAACCUUGGAGCUACCAUGACCCGCCAGGCAAUUCAGUCAUCAAACCCCCAGGGAAGUUAAGCAGACCCACUCUGUUCCUGAGUCUGCAGAAACUGCGCAGACCCAACUCACUUCACAGAAGUCUCCGCAGUGCCGCGGGCCAUCCCGGUGUCCUAACUGCUUUGUCUCAGCAGACAGAAACAACAGCGAGUUUCGGCACCUGCUGCAUUCUGCACUGAAGGCACUUUCUUCGCAGUUUCACUUCGACCUCGGAGCAGAACUCUGUGAAGCCGUGCCGGCUACUUAUUUUUAGCAGUCCUCUUUCUCAGGGGAAAUGCAAUUGUUCUUCAGCUCAACUGAAAAAUCCACAACUGCUCCCAAGAUCAGACAGCUUUCCCGAGGCAGUGCUCUGGGCAAAGACAGAACUUUUUGACAUACGCCCUUCCCAGCCUACCCAGCACCUGGCCAAGCAAACCAAAUAUGAGCAGGGACCGUCUUCGCUUACCGUAUCCACAACACAACAAGUUUUCAACUGAUUGGAAUAUAAUCUUUUAUUUAUCUUUACAGUGAUGACGGAAGAAUGUACAGGUGUUUUCACCCAUAGGUAUAAAAAUCUGUUUAUAUACAGAGUCACAAUAAUCUUUAAUUGGGAAAUCACUCUGUUCUCCUGAUCCAUCCUUACUAAAAACCACAGGAAAAAAAAAAAACAACAAAUAUUUAAUACAGGCAAUAUAAUUCCAGUAGGUUUGCAACCUGGCA